rnacentral:pre_miRNA from 1 species
UUAACUCAGAUUUGUAUGGAGUUACAAGUUUGCGUACGUUUGCCGCUAGGGGCGCUGUUCCAACUGCAUACAAAAUUUGAGUUA